UUUAUUCACAAUUUUACAUAUAAUGUGUGGAAUGUAAAUGCAAUUUGUUUUCUACUAUUUUAAUACAUUUUUGACAAAAGAUAUAACUGAGGUUUGUACUAAAACAUACUUGGGAAAUUUCUGCAAAACAAAAUCUACCCCGAGUAAUAAAUGUUUGUCCUUUGUCCUUUGACUCCUUUGAAUGAUUGAGUGGAACAGUUGGAGAUACCUAAAUAGGGGUGGUUAUUAAAACAAGCUGUAUAGCUAAUUUCUCAAUUUCAGGCCUUUUCUUGGCCUUGCCUGACUAUUUUUGUUGCACAUCAUUAAUCUUGAAAAGCAUACUCACAGGGAAGCCACCUUAUGGAAGCAGCCCAACAGGAGCAGGUGUGUCCGUUAUUGAGCAGCCCCUGAGCACUGCUGAGGCCUUUGCUGUCGGCCACUGCUUCAGGGCUCAGCCUCUCACCAGAGCCCAGUUGCAUUUACCUUGCCAGUCAAAGCUUCCCUUUGCCUCCAGGAAAAAAAGAUUUUUAAAGGCCCCUGUGCUGACUACUUCCUGAAUCUCAGUUUGUAGUUGAGCCACCUGCAGUCAUGGAUGCCUUCUUCUCUAAUUUCUCUUGUUCACUUAAUAGUGAUGCCAUCAGGUAGGGUUGGAAGAUAAAAUAUGGGAUGGUCAGUUAAGCUUGAAUUUCAGAUAAACAACAAAUAAUUUUUAAAGUUAAGUAUAUCCUGCAUAAAAUUUGAGACAUACUUAUACUAAAAAGUUAUUUGUUGUUUAUCUUAAAUUCAAAUUUAACUGGGCAUCCUGUGUUUUGAUUUGCUAAAUCUGGCAAUGCUACAUUAGGGCCGCUUUCCAAAUCUUAGCAGUGAGGAAAGAGCUCAUACAACUCAAACUUUGUGGGAAGAUAUCACAAAAUAGUGUGGUUUAUCUUUCAGGAAUACCAAGUAUGCUUUUCUUGGAGUGACUAAGACUUUGAUAACAGGAAUAAUCACUGAAUUUGGGUCUUGGCUAUGACAAAACAGUGUUGAUGGAACUAAUAACUUAUUAACUGGCUCUGGCUGGGUGCCCCAUGGAGCUUCAUUUAAUCACCACAGAACAACAAUUUAAACUGCAGAAGAAGGUCAGUGACUAAUUCAGGCUCUAGAAUUCUUUUUUCUUUUUUUCUCCUAUGGAGAUGUGAAGAGCAGAACUAAAUGAAGUAGCCUCAGUUCUGAAAGUUGCUUGCGUCCAAGAAUAAGACGUGAUAUUAUUAAUAAUUUGCAGGAGAUUUGUUGUUAUAGCUAGCUGAAUCUGCAGAAAUUGGAGCAAUAUACUUAGAGGUAUCAAUAGAAAAAACAGUCUCACAAUGAUUUACAAUGCACAGU
rnacentral:lncRNA from 1 species